rnacentral:tRNA from 2 species
GAUUCCUUAGCUCAGCUGGCAGAGCACAUCACUUUUAAUGAUGGGGUCCUGGGUUCGAGCCCCAGAGGGAUCA